AAUAUUGGCCCCUUUCAUAAUGUUGUUCAGAAAUGAGGGCCACAAUGCUAAAGUUUUCCACACGAUGGCGCCACAGGAUAGCAAAUACUUCAAGAUCUGUUCAAAGACUUGAAAAUGUUUCAUUUAUGUGCAUUAAAAAAAUGCAUAUAUAUUCAUUUUUUUCAUGAACUUUAAUAAAGCCCAAUAUAGUAAUAAUGCAAAAACUAUCAUCUCCUAAAUACCAUUACUUUUUUAUCUUAUUUUAAUAGUAUUGACAACAUAUUUCUCAAGUUAUCACACAUUACUGAGAAAGUGAAGAAGGGACACUAUAUUUGUUAUCUAUUUUCAUGUUGUGCAUAUAAUAAUUUACUUGAAAAGAGACACGUCCAUUGUGUAACUGCAUCAUCUACACAAACCAUUGUGCUUUGACCCCUUAUGAUCACACUUAAACCACAUUGUUUCAGUUACCUUCUGUGUCUUUGGCCACAACGGUUCAAUGACAGGAAUGUGAAAUAGCAAACAGGGGACAAAAUAAAAGGCAUGACUUUAUUUGCAUCCAGCUAGCCAACUGUAUUACAGAUGUUCCAUAGCCAAGGCUUUUAUUAGAAUAGAAAAUAGCAAGGGUUCAAAUAAAUAGAUUAUUAAUCAUAUAAUUUCACUUUCUUAAUGAAUAUUGUUCUGUGUGUGUGAUUUCAAAGUCUUGAUGGUUCGGAUUAACCCUUUAAUUGCCGUAUCCCUUAAAACCUGAGUGCCAGAGGGUUACUGUAAAUGCAUGUGCCCGCUGGGCACAGUUUACCUGAUGCCACCGGGGUGGCGUUUGCGCUGAUGGCUUGAGCCCGCCAUCGCUGCUUGCAGCUAUAUUUUAUUAGGCCCGAGCACCGAUGGUGUGAGGACCCUAUUGGAAUUGCUUCGUUUAUUAGGGCCCGAGCACUGCAGUGCGAGGACCCUCUUGGAAUUGCUCCAUUUAUUAUUAGGGCCCGAGCACUGCAGUGCGAGGACCCUCUUGGAAUUGCUCCGUUUAUUAUUAUUAGGGCCCGAGCACUGCAGUGCGAGGACCCUCUUGGAAUUGCUCCGUUUAUUCUUUUUCUUCUUCUUCUUCUUCUUCUCCGCAAUGAGUCGCAUUUUUGAGGGCCUAAACAUGCUCCAAAACUCACGAAACUUUGCACAUGCAUCAGAACUGGCGAAAAUUUACAUCUGAUAUAGGUUUCAAAAGUGGGUGUGGCAAAAUGGCUCGAUAGCGCCACCUAUUAAAUUUCAACGGAGUGCGCCUCGAGCUACGUUUCACGUACAUGCAUGAAAAUUGGUACACACGUGUAGCACACCAUUAUCUACAAAAAAGUCUCUUGGUACAAAAUCCAAAACCCAAAAGGAAGUAAGUUAUUUUGAAUUUCCUGUAGGAUUUUUGUGCAGUUUUUGCCAUUUCCAUGCCUCGUACUUUGACGAACUCCUCCUAUAGUUUUAAUCAGAUUGUCUUCAAAUUUGGUGAGGGUCAUCAUAAGACCUUUGUAAUGUUAAAUUGCGAAGGUUUUGAGUUUUCGUCAAGGGGUGUGUCCCUGGCGGCCUGACAAAAUUUGAUGUUUGAUGUUUCUCCGUGAAACAGGAAGUUGCUGUAACUCAGGCAAGCAAUGUCCGAUCUGCCCCAAACUUCACAUGUGUGAUAGGUGUUCUGUCCUGAACAAACACUCAUGACCAAAUUCAGUUAUACUCAUAGCGCCACCUGCUGGCAACAGGAAGUGACAUGGUUAAAACUGUUAUGGACUCCUAGGAACAUAUUAAAAAGUGUCAACAAGUGUUAAAUAGGCUGGAAACAUGCUAGAAACAUACUAAAACAUGCUAGCAACACUUAGCUAAGUGCUAAAGCAUGCUACUAAUGCAGUGAAAAAGGAAGUUGCUGUAACUCAGGCCAGCAAUGUCCGAUCUGCCCCAAACUUCACAUGUGUGAUAAGUGUACUGUCCUGAACAAACACUCAUGACCAAAUUCAGUUAUAGUCAUAGCGCCACCUGCUGGCAACAGGAAGUAACAUGAUUAAAACUGUCAUGGACUCCUAGGAACAUAUUAAAAAGUGUCAACAAGUGUUAAAUAGGCUGGAAACAUGUUAGAAACAUACUAAAACAUGCUAGCAACACUUAGCUAAAUGCUAAAGCAUGCUACUAAUGCAGUGAAAAAGGAAGUUGCUGUAACUCAAGCCAGCAAUGUCCGAUCUGCCCCAAACUUCAAACGUUUGACAAAAGUCCUGUCCUGAACACAUCAACAUGCCUGUAUUCGGUUAUAGUCAUGGCGCCACCUAUUGGCAACAGGAACUUUCUUGUUAAACACUGUUAUGGACUCCUUGCAAAAUAAUAAAAAGCAUCAACAUGUGUUAAAUAGGCUGGCAAAAUUCUAGAAGCAUGCUUAAACAUGCUAGCAACACUUAGCUCAGUGUUAAAGCAUGCUAUUAAUUCAUGAAAUAGAACAUUACUGUAACUCAAGCAUACAAUUUCCAAUCUGCCUCAUACUUCACAAGUUUGAUUAGAGUCCUGGCCUGAAGACAUCUACAUGUUCAUAUUUGUUAAUAGCUAUAGCGCCACCUACUGGCAACAGGAAGUGACAUGUUUUUCACUGAUAUGCACUAUUAGCAAACAAAAAAGUAUGCCAUUGUGUGCUAAACAUACUAGAAAUAUUCCCAAACAUGCUAACAACAUUAAACUAAGUGCUAAAGCAUGCUAUUAAUACUAUGAAACAGGAAGUUGUUGUAACUCAGGCAAGCAAUUUCCGAUCUGCCCCAAACUUCAUACGUUUGACAGGUGUUAUGCCCUGAACAAACACCCAUUCACAAAUUCAGUUAUACACAUAGCGCCACCUGCUUGUAACAGGAAGUGACAUGGUUAACACUGUAAUGGACUCCUGGGAACAUAUUAAAAAGUGUCAACAAGUGUUAAAUAGGCUGGCAACAUGCUAGAAACAUACUUAAUGUUACAUAGCUAAGUGCUAAAGCAUGCUACUAAUGCCGUAAAAAAGGAAAUUGCUGUAACUCAGGCAAGCAAUGAUCAAUCUGCCCCAAACUUCAAAUGUUUGACAAGAGUCAUGUCCGGAACACAUCAACAUGCCCUUAUUCGGGUUAUAGUCAUAGCGCCACCUACUGGCAACAGGAAGUGUCAUGAUUAACACUGUUAUGGACUCCUGGCAACUUAUUAAAAAGUGUCAGGAAGUGCUAAAUACACUGGCAACAUGUUAAAAACAUACUAAAACAUGCUAGUAGCACUUAGCUAAGUGCACUUAGCUAAAGCAUGCUACUAAUGCAGUGAAAAAGGAAGUUGCUGUAACUCAGGCUAGCAAUAUCCGAUCUGACCCAAACUUCACACGUUUCAACAAGAGUCCUGUCCCGAACACAUCAACAUGCCUGUAUUUGAUUAUAGUCAUAGCGCCACCUGAUGGCAACAGGAAGUGGCAUGUUUAACACUGUUAUGGACUCCUUGCAAAAUAAUAAAAAGCAUCAACAUGUGUUAAAUAGGCUGGCAAAAUUCUAGAAGCAUGCUUAAACAUGUUAGCAACACUUAGCUCAGUGUUAAAGCAUGCUAUUAAUGCAGUGAAGUAGAACAUUACUGUAACUCAUGCAUACUAUGUCCAAUCUGCCUCAAGCUUCACAAGUUUGAUUAGAGUCCUGGCCUGAAGAUAUCUACAUGCUCAUAUUUGGUUAUAGUUAUAGUGCCACCUACUGACAACAGGAAGUGACAUGUUUUAAUACUUUUAUGCAC
ensembl:lncRNA